rnacentral:snRNA from 1 species
GUGCUCACUGCAGCAGCACAUAUACUCAAAGUGGAAAGAUACAGAGAAUACUGGCAUGGUGCUGCUGCACAAGGAUCAUGCUGUAGAAGAUCCUUUUUGAACCUUU